rnacentral:rRNA from 1 species
CGGGUACGGGCCAUGGGAGUGGUAGCCCGGAGAUGGAUUCUGAGACACGAAUCCAGGCCCUACGGGUCGCAGCAGGCGCGAAAACUUCGCAAUGCGCGAAAGCGCGACGAGGGGAUUCCAAGUGCAUGCACUCAGUGUAUGCUGUUUUCCAGUCUAAAUAGCUGGGAGAGUAUGGGCUGGGUAAGACUGGUGCCAGCCGCCGCGGUAAUACCAGCGGCCCUAGUGGUGAUCGUUAUUAUUGGGCCUAAAGCGUCCGUAGCCGGCUCGGUAAAUCUCUGGGUAAAUCGAUAGGCUUAACUUAUCGAAUUCUGGGGAGACUGCCGGGCUUGGGAUCGGGAGAGGUCGGAGGUACUCCAGGGGUAGGGGUGAAAACCUGUAAUCCUUGGGGGACCACCGGUGGCGAAGGCGUCCGACCAGAACGAGUCCGACGGUAAGGGACGAAGCCCUGGGGCGCAAACCGGAUUAGAUACCCGGGUAGUCCAGGGUAUAAACGCUGUGCGCUUGGUGUUGGGGGUCCUACGAGGGCACCCAGUGCCGGAGAGAAGUUGUUAAGCGCACCGCCUGGGGAGUACGGUCGCAAGACUGAAACU